AUUAGAAAUAGUUUAUUUUAAGAAUUUAAGCUUUGGGAGUUUAAGGUGCUCAAUAGAGUUUUCUAGUU
rnacentral:tRNA from 1 species